UACGUAGGGUGCAAGCGUUAAUCGGAAUUACUGGGCGUAAAGCGUGCGCAGGCGGUUAUGUAAGACAGGUGUGAAAUCCCCGGGCCUUAACCUGGGAACUGCAUUUGUGACUGCAUCGCUGGAGUGCGGCAGAGGGGGAUGGAAUUCCGCGUGUAGCAGUGAAAUGCGUAGAUAUGCGGAGGAACACCGAUGGCGAAGGCAAUCCCCUGGACCUGUACUGACGCUCAUGCACGAAAGCGUGGGGAGCAAACAGG
rnacentral:rRNA from 1 species